rnacentral:rRNA from 1 species
UACGUAGGGGGCUAGCGUUGUCCGGAAUCAUUGGGCGUAAAGCGCGUGUAGGCGGCCCGAUAAGUCCGCUGUGAAAGUCCAGGGCUCAACCCUGGGAUGCCGGUGGAUACUGUCGGGCUCGAGUCCGGAAGAGGCGAGUGGAAUUCCUGGUGUAGCGGUGAAAUGCGCAGAUAUCAGGAGGAACACCAAUGGCGAAGGCAGCUCGCUGGGACGUGACUGACGCUGAGGCGCGAAAGCGUGGGGAGCAAACAGG